rnacentral:rRNA from 1 species
UACGAAGGUCCCAAGCGUUGUUCGGAAUCACGGGGCGUAAAGGGAGCGUAGGCGGCGUGGUAAGUCAGAUGUGAAAUCCCGGGGCUCAACCCCGGAACUGCAUCCGAUACUGCCAUGCUAGAGGAUUGGAGAGGUAGCUGGAAUUCUUGGUGUAGCAGUGAAAUGCGUAGAGAUCAAGAGGAACACUCGUGGCGAAAGCGAGCUACUGGACAAUUCCUGACGCUGAGGCUCGAAGGCCAGGGUAGCGAAAGGG